GGCUAAGGGCGAGCACCGGAGCUAGACCACCUGGGUUCAAAUCCCAGCUCCACCACCUCCUGGCUGUGUGCACCUGAGCAAGUGAUUUUACCUCUCUGAGCCUCAGUGUCUCCAUCUGUAAAGUGACAACAAAACCAGUACUCCCCUCACGUGUUAUACUUAGAGUAGUGCCUGACACUGAGUUAGCCCUUCUUGUAUUAGGCAACAUCGCCCAGGAACCUCUGAUAAAAAUGAGCAGGAGAUGGCUGAGCCUGUCUGCAUCUUAGAAAGACAGGAGGACACUUCCACUUCCAACCAACACGAAGUAGCAGGGCCCAAAUUUACCUUCCUGUCUGAAACAGCAACAAAAUGCACAAAAUGCAUGGAACCCUGGUUCUCAAACAUUGGACAUUAACCAACAAAUCACAGUGGUCCCUGAGACAUGAGAACAAAUGAGGUUGACCAGGAGGGUCUGUCCGGGGCCUCUCAGAUCCUGACGAACUCCUUGACCCUCUGCGCCUCAGUUUCCUCCGCUGCUGCUGUUUCACAGGCACCGUUCUAGGCCCUGGGGGUUCAGCUGUGAUCAGCCGGCGGGGCUGACACUCUUGUGGGAGGAUGAAGACGAUGGACAAACCACGCGGACGUAAUACGAUGCUGGUAGAUGUGAUACUCUGAAAGUGGCAAGCGGCGGAGGGACCCUUUGCUACUUGAGUUAAGCCCCAUCCCCCUUCCUGCCCACUGGAAUGCUCUGAAGGGAACUGGGGCUGGUUUUAUAAGGAAAGGGGAAGAACAGGAAGGCCCUCCCCACCGCAACCCUGGAAGAGGAAGACUGCAGAAGUGCCAGCGAGGCAAGCCAACAAGGAGGCCAUCUUGGGCAGGGAGUACCCCGGAUGGGCCCUGAAGCCGAGGAGGCCGAGGGGUUGCUGCAUCCAGAAUGGGGGUCCUGGUUCUGCCAAUGGGGUAGAGGAGCCUGGCCAAGGGAGCCAAGCCCCAUUUCCUGCCCCAGUUUCACCUCUUUAUUUUCUUUCCUCCCUCUUUCCCCCCCUCACUUGCAAUAAAAACAUAAU